GCCAGUGAUGCCCGGCGAGGAGUAUGUAGACAAGGCCGUGGAGGUUUUCCGCGUUCCUGGCCAUCACUUCUGCCUCCGACUCCACUAUGGCGCGAAUGGAUCCAGCGCCUGUUUGUCGCUCGUCCAGUGCUCCGGCUGUCGUGGAAAAACAGUGAUGCUCCGGCUGCGUGCCCAGGUACUCUGCGUCGGAUGAGUGCGCGGAGAGGAUCUCAGUGGUUGUCAUCAGCUUCGGCUUUGGCGGAGAAGGAUGAGAGGUAGAAUUUCUCCCCAUUUAUUUGCAGCUGUUUAUGUUCUUCUGUGUCUUCGUCAGGAUUGAGCUUGUGAGCGAUGGUCGGCCUGUUCACUGGGAAUCUAGCGUAUGCGCACUAGCCAAAGUUACGGUGGUACGAUGGGAUCCAAAUCAUGGUGGUGAGGGCCUCGAUCAAGUUUGCUUUUGUUUUCAUGUCUGUCCAUCCAGCUUUCUUGUCUGCGUGACCAACAUUCGCGAUUUCUUGCCACCAUGCCUGGAGUUCAGUGCCAUCCCGGACUGAAGCAUCGUUCUUGUAGAAAAUGUCUGCGUAGUCUGUCACCCAUUGCUUCAAUGCACUCCAGAUGUUCAGUCCGCCCACUGCAUAAGAGUUUCAAGCUAGAAAUCCCCUUUCCUUGCGAUCAAGUCAACUGGAAGUCCCUCUUGGUCGAAUCUCCACAGCGAUCCAUAGAUGACAGCACUAAGUUCUAUGGAGUACUUUCCCGUCGUGAUGAUUCCUGAUGCAUUGAUCAGCGCUUGGCGAGCCUUGAAAUUGGAAGUGCGGAAUCAGCAGGAGGUAGAUUGGAUGAAGAAUGCUCAGCUGCCUGUGCGUAGCAAUUUUAAACGGUUCCAUGACGGCAUGCAUCCUCAGCCUGGAUGAGAGCGAUCAGGUACGCAUUGCUAUAUAUUUUUUAUAUCAUUCUUGGAUUCCUCGGGUUUUUUUUAAUUGAUUUAAUGGUAGCACGUGGAGAACAAACACUUUGCGUCGGUACGAGCUUUGUCUUUCUUUCCUUUUUUAUUUCUUUCGUUUUCGGUUUUUGAGGAGUGGCUCCAAGCGAUUCCUGGUGACGAAGUUCCAGCGGUCCAGACUCCCAGUUCUAAACGAAACCUGAACACUGAUGUGUACAAUGGAAAAAUCCGAAUCAUGAAGGCCUUGUUGAUAAAAUACGGUGUUGUUAAAUUAUAUGGGCCGUAAAUUCUCACGGUAUAGCCAGUCUUAGCCAAUUUUCUUGACCCCGCCAUUGUUCUCAACCAUUCUUUCUU
rnacentral:lncRNA from 1 species